AACGAACGCUGGCGGCGUGCCUAACACAUGCAAGUCGAACGGAAUUAGAGAGCUUGCUCUUUGAUUUAGUGGCACACGGGUGAGUAACGCGUAGAUAAUCUGCCUGACGAUCUGGGAUAACACUUCGAAAGAGGUGCUAAUACCGGAUAAGCCCACGGGUUCUUUGGAAUCUGCGGGAAAAGGGGGGGACCUUCGGGCCUUCUGUCGUCAGAUGAGUCUGCGUACCAUUAGCUAGUUGGUAGGGUAAAGGCCUACCAAGGCGACGAUGGUUAGCUGGUCUGAGAAGAUGAUCAGCCACACUGGAACUGAGACACGGUCCAGACUCCUACGGGAGGCAGCAGUGGGGAAUUUUGCGCAAUGGGCGAAAGCCUGACGCAGCAACGCCGCGUGAGUGAUGAAGGCUUUCGGGUCGUAAAGCUCUGUCAAUGGGAAAGAAGUGUAUUUUGGCUAAUAUCCUUAAUACUUGACGGUACCCAUAAAGGAAGCACCGGCUAACUCCGUGCCAGCAGCCGCCGUAAAAC
rnacentral:rRNA from 1 species